rnacentral:misc_RNA from 1 species
GCAAACUUGGUCAUUUAGAGGAAGUAAAAGUCGUAACAAGGUUUCCGUAGGUGAACCUGCGGAAGGAUCAUUAAAAAAAAACAAUCAUCCUUAAUACCAAUGUGCAUUUAUACAUGUGUGAUUGAGCCCUUUUUUCUUUUUUUUAAAAGAAGGGGGGUAAUAUAUCUCCAAAUAUUAAAUCCUUGAAUGUAUUGACUGAAAUUUUUUAAUAAAUUAAAUUUUUAAUACAACUUUCAACAACGGAUCUCUUGGCUCUCGCAUCGAUGAAGAACGCAGC